GGGCGAUUAGCUCAGAUGGUUAGAGCGUCCGGCUUACAUCCGGGAGGUCAGGGGUUCGAUUCCUCUAUCGCCCA
rnacentral:tRNA from 1 species